UAUAAUUGCAGGUAGGGAUACGCUGUAUACUCAUGAUAUCGAAUUAGCGUUUAAGCGAUAUGCAAUAUCGUCGAUCAUGAGGCCACCAUUUUGGUGGCUUUUUUUAUU
ncrna:unclassified sequences DTF3800-I RNA